CGGCAAGACGGAAUUGAGUUUAAAUGAGCGACAGUUUUUGUGAGUUUGUUUGUUUAAAACCCGGAUGUCGUCGUCCCACGGCCUGUUGUCCUUCACACGUGGGUUUCGGGGGUCUCUGUGGACGUUCAAGAAUCCCUGCUGUGUCAGUGGCCGUAGAGGAUUGUGAUUUGUACCUGUUGAGAUCCUCCCUCUGUGUGGGGCUGUGUUACAGGGAGCUCGCUGUGGUUUUCUAAGUAUUGAACAGCCUAUUUUCAACACUCGGGUCACUUCCCAAAACUGAUCUACCUGAGAAGGAAGACCGAGGAGAAGGAAAGCAAAGAGUCAGAAAUGACUCGUUCCCAGAAUCCCUGCUGUGUCAGUGGCCAUAGAGGAUUGUGAUUUGUACCUGCUGAGAUCCUUCCUCUGUGUGGGGCUGUGUUACAGGGAGCUCGCUGUGUUUUUCCAAGCAUUGAACGGCCUGUUUUCUGGGGUCACUUCGCAAGACUGAUCUUACCUUAGAAGGAAGCCCAGAGGAAGAGGAAAGCAAGGAGUCAGAAAUGACUCGUUCCAGGUCUUGUGGUCGCUAAGGUGCAUCUAGUCACUUUUCUGGAUUAAAUGAAGGAUCCCAGGAGUAUAAGGAGAAUGGAGACAAUGGCCAUGUCCCCAGGUACGUGUCAAUGGAUGGAGCCAAUGACUCAGGUGAGAGGUCCAAGCAUCAGCGAGGAAGUCAUUCUUUGUCCUGUGUUUUCGGAAGACCUGCUUCAUUGGAAACGAUUUUGGAGAAGUCUGGAUUUAUUUUUGUUUCUGCCAUAGAUGGCUAUCAUCUGCUGCCUUCUUCCUGUUAACCCAUGAUGAAAUCUUGUCCCUAACCCUAACCUUUCUCUUUCACAGUGAGAACUAAAAUGCUCUUCUUGGCUUGUGACAACCUGCAUGAAUCUGGUUGCUGUUUCAUUUCUUGAGAGUCCUAAUAAAACUGUGCGCAUUUCUGAGUAACUAUGA